CUCCACUGCAAAAUCAGCAAUAGCAUUUCUAGACAUAAACCUAAUCAUCUCCUCUCUCUCCCCAACCUCUCUUUCCAAGUCUUGAAUUCUAGCUUUCCACUCCUCCCUCUCUCCCUGAAAAUCUUCAAUUCUUGCUCUUAGUGAUGCCAUUUCCUCACUAGCAGCAUCGAUCUGCUGCAGUAGCCGCUUCUCCUCCGCCUGCCAUGAGUUCCUAUGGCUGGG
rnacentral:misc_RNA from 1 species